GGGGAUUUAGCUUAGUGGUAGAGCACUUGCCUAGCAAGUGCAAGGCCCUGAGUUCAGUCCCCA
rnacentral:tRNA from 1 species